GGACCAUUGCUCAGUGGAAAAGCCUUUGCUUUUUAUGCAGGGUUUCAGGUUCAAUCCCUGGCAUCUCCA
rnacentral:tRNA from 1 species